rnacentral:tRNA from 1 species
GAGGAUUUGGCUCAGUGGUAGAGCGCUUGCCUAGCAAGCACAAGGCCCUGGGUUCGGUCCCCAGCUCU